rnacentral:rRNA from 1 species
GAGGAGGACAGGUGGUGGCGAUGGUUGUCGUCAGCUCGUGUCGUGAGAUGUGGUUAAGUCCGCAACGAGCGCAACCCUCGUCGGUAUGUUGCCAGCAGUUCGGCUGGGCACUCAUACCAGACUGCCGCAGCAAUGUGGAGGAAGGUGGGGAUGACGUCAAGUCAGCAUGCCCCGUACGCCCUGGGCUACACACAUACUACAAUGCAGAGUGCAGACGGAUGCCAAGCCGUGAGGUGGAGCUAAUCCGCGAAGGCUCUGCUCAGUGCAGAUUGCAGGCUGCAACUCGCCUGCAUGAAGGCGGAAUCGCUAGUAACCGUCGGUCAGCAUUACGACGGUGAAUACGUUCCCGGGCCUU